UCCAGUCCCCAAGAAGUCUGAACCUCGUCUGUUACCAUGUGAAACAAUGGUGGUCACAGAACCCGCCUCCUGGAAUGGAUGUGAGGAGUAAGGAGAUUCUUGACUGUGCCAUACACUGCUGGUUUCCUCCUGACCGAAGAGCUCCACGAGAGAAUUCAUUUUAUUUGUUUUGUUUCACUUUUAUUUCUGAUUGUUUCAUACUGAGAAUGUAGCCCAGGCUCAUCUCCAACUCAACAGACCACUUGUCUCUACCUCUAGCCAUUUCACCGUGGAGAUCCUGGGCACUGUUGCCUCCUCCCCUAAAGAAGCCUGGAGCCAGACUGAGAGACAGAGGCUCCUCCUUUCUCCUUGUGACUUCUUGGUGUGAAGCCCAGGAUCCUACACCUGCUUGAUGAGGUUCAAAAGUUGAAAUGACCGAGGGAAGCUGUGUGGGCAGGUACAGAGGCCCCCAAAGAAUGCAGAAUCACUUCUGCCUGGAAGGCUUCCAUGUCCUGAGGGGAUUGGGCAACACAGGGGGCCCCAAGAACUGCAGGGCAGGCAAGAAGAGAGAGGCUAAACUCAGAGUGUUCGGGCAGGACAUUAGACCUGGCCUUCAACUUUGCUUGUUUUUAAGGAUCAGUUUCUUCCAUGAGAGAGGCAAGGGUCAGCCCAGAUUGG